rnacentral:rRNA from 1 species
UACGUAGGGGGCGAGCGUUGUCCGGAUUCAUUGGGCGUAAAGAGCUCGUAGGCGGCUUGGCAAGUCGGAUGUGAAAACUCCAGGCUCAACCUGGAGCCGCCAUUCGAUACUGCUAUGGCUAGAGUCCGGUAGGGGAGUGUGGAAUUCCCGGUGUAGCGGUGGAAUGCGCAGAUAUCAGGAGGAACACCGGUGGCGAAGGCGGGUCUCUGGGCAGUAACUGACGCUGAGGAGCGAAAGCGUGGGGAGCGAACAGG